CUUACCCCUCUUGACGUUUUGACAGUUUGUCUGUUUGUUUUUCUCCCUCACCUUGCGACGUCGUUUCGGUUUUGCAUCGUGCAUCACGGAGAAAAUCGAAAAAGAUAAUAAUAAUAUAACGUUAAUGAGGCUUUCUGUUUGACGCGAGAUUUGACGGCAACCGGAGAAGGCAAUCCGCUGAAGCAGGCCACGAACAUUGGGAGUCAUUUUUUUUCUGCUCGGCUACGCAGUGUGCAAAUUGAACAACAACAAUGGUUCGGAACAAUGCAACCAGCGAAAAACAUUUCGCCAGGAAUCUCUACUUCAAUUCGAAUCGAUUAGACGAUUGCCCUCGAGGAGGAAGAAAAUCAGCGUCCAAGGAAAUUAAAGGCCAGUCUGAUAGUAGUCGCAGCUCUACAAAGUGGAAGCAGUAUUUCCCUGAUGGUGUAUGGCGGUUGAAUGCGGGGACAGUUCUGAGGAGGUGCUAAAAUCGAUUCAUCACUGCUGCAUGCUUUUUUACGCUUAUUGCCGAAUUAUGCAUCACAAAGAGUGGAUAGUGAAUGAUCGUUAACAUCCUUGGGUGGAAGACCGUUUUGCGGCCGUGGAGGAUUCCGCGGACGUGGUGGUUUCCGUGGCGGUUUACAUCGUGAUGGCCCACCGCACCACGGGGACAAUGAUGAAUUGCGUCGAUCAGGAGCCGAUGGCGAAUAUGAUUACGUCGUCGUUCUGGAUCACGUGAACCAGGAAUCGAUAGAUCUCGCUCCCGUUCACCGAGGCGACGCAGUCCGGCUGAUUCUGAUUCGUCUUCUUGUGGGAAUGGCAUGUUAUCGAAUGCAAGAACGUUACCAGAAGAAGAUGUGCAGAAGCGCAUAUCGACGUCAUCGUCGCACGCAAUCUUCCUCGGCCUGCCGGGAUCGACGUUAUCGGUGGCAUCGUCGGAUGAUGCCAGUGUUCAGACGCGUCCACUGCGUAAUCUCGUGUC